rnacentral:rRNA from 1 species
AUUGAACGCUGGCGGCAGGCCUAACACAUGCAAGUCGAGCGAGCGGCGGACGGGUGAGUAAUGUAUGGGGACUGCCCGAUCGAGGGGGGUAACUACUGGAAACGGGAGCUAAUACCGCAUACUAUCGGAUAACCCAUAUGGGAUUAGCUAGUAGGUGGGGUAAUGGCCCACCUAGGCGACGACCGCUAGCUGGCCUGAGAGGAUGUUCAGCGACACUGGGACUGAGACACGGCCCAGGGUCCUACGGAGGCAGCAGUGGGGAAUAUUGCACAGUGGGCGCAAGCCUGAUGCAGCCAUGCCGCGUGUAUUAAGAAGGCCCUAGGGUUGUAAAGUACUUUCAGUCGUGAGGCGUUACCGGCAGAAGAAGCACCGGCUAACUCCGUGCCAGCAGCCGCGGUAAUUC